CAAGAGGUUCGACUCGAGCGAAGCGAGAGAACGUUGCGUCAGCAACGGCCCGCAGGGCGAGCCACGCAGUGGCGAGU
rnacentral:sRNA from 1 species